CUGGGAGCGAGCUUCCCAAGGCAAAGGGAUGCUCAAACACAGCCGAGUGGGGAGGCUGUGCAGCGGAACACAUCCAAGAAAUUCUCCUGACCGGACACCCCCCGAGCCAGCAGCGGCUGCAGGUGACAGCCCUCAAUCCCCGGGGCUCAGUGCCUGGCUCUGGGCUGGGCUGUGCACUCCCUCCUUCCUCCUGUCCCUCCUCCCUGCCUGAGGCAGGAGCUGCAGGGGCUCCCGGCGCCUGGAAGCGAGGUACCCCCGGGAAAUGGGCUGGGGGCUGCCUCUGCCUGCGCUGGGCUCCUCCUGCCUCCCUGCUGCAGCUGCGAGCCGAGGGAAAACUGCAGGAGCUUUGCCAGCAACAGGUCUGUCUGUGUGUCAGAGCUGGAAUGCGGCUUCCCCUGCCUGGAGCUGCCCUGUUUACUGGGGGCACAGCACGGGAAUCCUGGUGAUGGCAGGGAGCUGCCUGCUGGAAACAACCCUCGUGCUGCCGGAGUUGUCCUGGGGUGGGCUGGAGCACGGAGCAGUUGGUGCACUGGAGGGGGACAGGGGUGGCAGCAGGUGCCCCUGACCCUCUGGCUUUGGGGUUCAGAGCUGAGGGACAUGCACAGAGUGUCUGUGUUGCAGCUGCUGCUGGGAGGGCCAGUCCACCUGGGCUGGCAGCUGGACCACUCUGCACAGCUCCAGGAUUGGAAAAGAAGAGCCUGGGGCUGUUUGUUUUUUCCUCAGCGACUUAGACAAGUCACAUCAUUUUAUUUUGCUCUUCCAUCAGUAGCAGGUAUCUCCAGUAAAGGAAAGUGUCUGAAGCUACCUCAUGUUAGCCUUUAAAUCUGAACCACCCCAGGGGCUGCAAAGUAUAAAAUGCAGUGAGGUCAGUUUGGGGUGUUCUGCUGGAAAAAGGGGGAUUGAGUGUAACUGUGAGCAAAGGAGGAGCAUUUCCUGAGGCUGGCAGGUAGGUACCUGCGAGAUGGCACCUCAUCCCAAAAGAAUGGACCUGUGCUGCUGGUUUUUUCCAAAUGAAAAUCCUAGCAAGGAAAACUUAUUUCCAGUCCUUGCUGUUUAGACAACUGUGGGUUGCAGUCAUUUACUGUACAGAAUUGGCUUCAACUGGAGUCAAACCAAGAGGUUUCCAAGGUAACCUCUCAGCAUGUCAAAUUCCUGACAUCAAUCAGAGGUGCCUAUCCAUCUUAUCCAGGUAAGGCUUAGAAUCUGGUGUUAAUUAAAAUCAAGUCACUGAGGCAGUAGUGAAUGGAAAUUCAAGAGCACCAAAAGGAUUCAAAUCCUUAGAGCAGGUCACAGAAAAAAAAAAAAAAUCAGUGAGUACUCAAAGUCCCUGUGUGGGUGUGAUGGUGAUGUAAAAGGGAAGAGGCAGGAAAGUACAGGGAGAGUUCAGCCCUUCCACAACCAUUGUCUUUCUGAGAGGUGACACUGCAUUUAAACCUCUGCUGUCACCUUCACAGGCAGCUCUUCUCCUGUGCAGCCUGCACAGUUAUCUAAGACUAAAGGUGUCGCCUCUGGGCAAAUCCAGCCUUGGGCUGUGUGGAAGUGUUCAGGAUCCAACUCCAUCCUGCUGCUCAGGGAGCUCACUUGCUCUGCCCUUGGGGCAGGCAGGCUGCUCUGCCUAAUUUCUAGUGAGGCAUAAUCCAAUGUUCUGCAGCCCAGGAACCUGGGUGAGGGGUAAAAUGCUCAUUAUUGCAACUAGCUCUAAGUAAUGAUGGCUCAUGCCUGUCUCAGAGGGCAAUGAGACCUCUGUGCUAAAAGAGAUGGCUCCUGCUCAUUUGUCACUCGAAGCAGAGACAUCAUCCGGUGCAAAAAGCCCUUUUGAUGAGAGCGUCAGGAUUGGUUUAGUUUUCUUCUGGUCUUUCACUUUGCAGUGACUGCAGGAUCCUCUGUGCCCCCAUUUUGGGAGGGUAGAUAAACUAGCUGCUGACAGUGCUCUCCUGUAGCUGUGAAUUAGCUGACGGCUCCCAAAACACUUCUUUUGUUUGCCAGUUCUAUCCUCCACUGAGAUUACAGGAUCCUCUGUGCCCCCCGUUUUGGGAGGGUAGAUAAACUAGCUGCUGACAGUGCUGUCUCCUGUGAAUUAGCUGAUGGCUCCUAAAACACUUCUUUUGUUUGCCAGUUCUGUCCUCCACUGGGACUCUCUCAUGAUUGUCCCGCUUUUCAGGGUUUUUUUCUUACCUCAUUCUACCUGUUCCCCAAUUAGUCUCCUCAGUUUCAGUGCCCCAAAUGACAGGGCUGUCAGGGAGUGACUCAGGAGCAGGUGCAAUUUAGGAGGCUCAUGUCCCAUUAGUGGGGAAUUUAGUGCUGCCAAGAGCCCGGCAGGGAUCAUUGAUUUAACUGUUCCUAUAGACCAAACCCCGGCACUCACUGCUAGAGCAUCUCUCCAGGGAAAAAACCUCGACCAGUCCAGAUAUUUCGUGGGGUCCCUGCCCAGUUUCCAGUGAUGGAUGGGCAGCUGCUACUUGGAGACUGGGUCCCGGGAGAACUUCAGUGAUUUCCUACGGAAAGCUUUUAAAGCAGGGACUUGCUUCCACAGUAAGGCAGCUAAAAUCUUAUUGCUUCCCUGGCUUCUCCAUAAAGUGUGCAUAAGUGUGUCUGGGUAUGGAAAUCUUACUUUAACCUGAUUUCAGGGAACAGCUGGCUGAGAUUUUAGUUAAAAUUUAAAACAGCCUGUGACAUGUGAAAUAAAAAAAAAAAAAAAUCAGAAAAAUUCAGAAGCUUAAAGGCUGACUGAGCAUGAAGUAAAAAAAGAAAAAAAAGACAAGGAAUAGGUAAGCAGCCUCAGCUCUAAUGAGGCAGAGUGGAAAUUAUAUAAAUGUAUAUAUAUAUGUGUGUAUAUAUGUAUAUAUUUAUAGAGCCAUAACAAACUUGUUGUGAAUGUCUCACCUGCCAUUUGCAUCUCCUGAUUUACAUUUGCAAUUUGGCUUUGGAGUGAAAUAUUAUCUAUUCCCAGCUCAAGUGGAUGAGUAAUCUGCAACUAGGUCUUGUAUUUAUUACAGUCAUCCUGUUGAUAGCCUUGUUUUUUAUCAUUUGAAGUUCAAGAUCUUUUAAGAAGAAAUACCUUGACAAACUAUUUUCUUUGGCCCCAGCUCAGACUAUACAAAUAAAUGACUCUGAGGGGAGGAUAAGCAGUUUAAACCCAUUGAGAGGAUAUCUGUGUGCAGCUCUGAGAUUGGUACAUCUCCCUGGAAUUGCCCAUUUCAAAAUGAGAAAUUUGCUUCUCAAGGUGCACUUGUUUUUCUUUAUGAAAGUAAAUGUUGGUAAGAAAAAAAUUAUUUGAUUGCAACUGGCUAUUUUUAGGGUGUGUUUUCUUCCACAGCUCCUUUUCCCCAGCUGAAAACCUCCUGGGAUAUUCGGGCCUAUUUAGAGAUAAACCACUCUGAGGUAUGUCAUAUAAAAUAUCAUGGAAAUACUGAUUGAUGGAAAAGUGAAAUACUUGAGGAGUAAGUUCUAUUGUCUUAAUUCACAAAUAUCCCCAGGGACUGUACGUGGCAGGUCAAGCCCUGCAUGACCCAGACUAAACAACUCCUGCACCACUCCCUGUCCCGUGCCUGAGCCACAGGAACUGGGAAUGGGGGUUUGGGGGGCUGCAGCUCCCCUUUGCUCUGGGAGAGAAGGGAAGAUGAGCCCAGAUUCCCAUGGUCUGUGCAUGGGCUCCCUGUGGAACAGCAUUUUAGUUUUUCAGUCUGUGGCUCUUCUUGGCUCCCUAGGGCAGAGGAUGAUCCAUAAAUUUCUCUCUCUGCUAGUUCUCAAACACAGACCCAUGUCCUGGUCCUUUUGCUGUCCUUCAGGGGCUGCAUUUUUGUCCUGGGACUUUCUCACUUUUCAGCAGACCAGGGAAAUCUCUGCUGUUGUGCCAUUACUGAGCUCAGGAUAAGGGAAGAACAAAUUUUUUAGCCCUUACCACACUAAAUGUUCUUUAUGUACAACAACAUGCUCCUGCUGUUCUUUCCAUCUCUGAAGUUUGCUUAUUUUUGUUUCAGCCUCAGAGGAUUCUGUGAGGGUAUUUCACACAUAAAAAUCAAGAUCCCAAGAUGACAAACCCAGCAGGUUGUGUCACAGGAGUGAAGCAGUGGUGGCUGCUCCGGGGCAUUUGUUCCACGUGCCCAACAUAAAAGAUAAUUGCAUCACUUUGAACUGCUGCUUUAACAAUGGAAAGCUGACUUUCUCUAUCCAGAGGAACAUUCUACUCCCUGCUUCCUUAGGCCUCCUCAUCUGGGAGACAAAAUAUAUGUGGAAAAAAGUUGGGAAUGCUGCCUCCAAGUGAAGUUACCUGCUUGGAAAUGAACCCACUCUCAAAGAGCCCUGCAACAGUGGGAUCAAGUGAGACACGCUGUGACUCUGUGAGUGUCUUAGAGCAGCUGGAAAAGGGCUGCUUGGACCAUAUUUGUGCUCACAUUUCAGCCUUUAGCUCUCAUGGACUGAAAUAUUGCAGACACAGUCUGGAACCCACCAGGCCCUGCGUUUUCCUGUGCUUGUGCUUCUUCACAGCCAUCGUGGGUCCUGCUCAAAUGACAAAAUUAAAUAUUUUCCAUCACGUUCCACUUAUUCUCCUCUGUUGUUAUUUCUGCCAUAUCCAUUGUCGUUGCAGCUAGAGAAACAAAUGGAAAUGGAAAUUUGAGAAAUAAAGGAUAAAAAAUGGC